rnacentral:rRNA from 1 species
GAUGAACGCUGGCGGCGUGCCUAAUACAUGCAAGUCGAGCGAACAGACGAGGAGCUUGCUCCUCUGACGUUAGCGGCGGACGGGUGAGUAACACGUGGAUAACCUACCUAUAAGACUGGGAUAACUUCGGGAAACCGGAGCUAAUACCGGAUAAUAUAUUGAACCGCAUGGUUCAAUAGUGAAAGACGGUUUUGCUGUCACUGAUAGAUGGAUCCGCGCCGCAUUAGCUAGUUGGUAAGGUAACGGGUUACCAAGGCGACGAUGCGUAGCCGACCUGAGAGGGUGAUCGGCCCAACUGGAACUGAGACACGGUCCAGACUCCUACGGGAGGCCGCAGUAGGGAAUCUUCCGCAAUGGGCGAAAGCCUGACGGGACAACGCCGCGUGAGUGAUAAAGGUCUUCGGAUCGUAAAACUCUGUUAUUAGGGAAGAACAAAUGUGUAAGUAACUAUGCACGUCUUGACGGUACCUAAUCAGAAAGCCACGGCUAACUACGUG